UAGCUAGUUGGUGGGGUAAGGGCCUACCAAGGCGACGAUCGGUAGCUGGUCUGAGAGGAUGACCAGCCACACUGGAACUGAGACACGGUCCAGACUCCUACGGGAGGCAGCAGUGGGGAAUAUUGGACAAUGGGGGGAACCCUGAUCCAGCAAUGCCGCGUGUGUGAAGAAGGCCUGAGGGUUGUAAAGCACUUUCAGUGGGGAGGAGGGUUGAUAGGUUAAGAGCUAAUUAGCUGGACGUUACCCACAGAAGAAGCACCGGCUAACUCCGUGCCAGCAGCCGCGGUAAUACGGAGGGUGCGAGCGUUAAUCGGAAUUACUGGGCGUAAAGCGUGCGUAGGUGGUUGAUUAAGUUAUCUGUGAAAUCCCUGGGCUUAACCUGGGCAGGUCAGAUGAUACUGGUUGACUCGAGUAUGGGAGAGGGUAGUGGAAUUUCCGGUGUAGCGGUGAAAUGCGUAGAGAUCGGAAGGAACACCAGUGGCGAAGGCGGCUACCUGGCCUAAUACUGACACUGAGGCACGAAAGCGUGGGGAGCAAACAGGAUUAGAUACCCUGGUAGUCCACGCUGUAAACGAUGUCAACUAGCUGUUGGUUAUAUGAAAAUAAUUAGUGGCGC
rnacentral:rRNA from 1 species